rnacentral:rRNA from 1 species
GAUCCUGGCUUAGGAUGAACGCUAGCGACAGGCUUAACACAUGCAAGUCGAGGGGCAGCAUAAAAGUAGCAAUACUUGGUGGCGACCGGCGCACGGGUGAGUAACGCGUAUGCAACCUACCUAUCAGAGGGGAAUAACCCGGCGAAAGUCGGACUAAUACCGCAUAAAACAGGGGCACCGCAUGGUGAUAUUUGUUAAAGAAAUUCGCUGAUAGAUGGGCAUGCGUUCCAUUAGGUAGUUGGUGAGGUAACGGCUCACCAAGCCGACGAUGGAUAGGGGAACUGAGAGGUUGGUCCCCCACACUGGUACUGAGACACGGACCAGACUCCUACGGGAGGCAGCAGUGAGGAAUAUUGGUCAAUGGGCGGGAGCCUGAACCAGCCAAGUCGCGUGAAGGAAGAAGGAUCUAUGGUUCGUAAACUUCUUUUGCAGGGGAAUAAAGUGCAGGACGUGUCCUGUUUUGUAUGUACCCUGAGAAUAAGGAUCGGCUAACUCCGUGCCAGCCGCCGC